rnacentral:rRNA from 12 species
CCUUUCAGCAUAUUCUGUAGAUAUUCUGUAUUAACUAAAAUUAAAUAAACCAUUAGGGCAGGGCCAUGCCUGGUUAGUAUUUGGAUGGGAGACCAAUUUGGAAGACCAGGAGCUGCUAGCC